UAAAACUUAUAGAUCGCCUGUUCAACUUAACCGCUCUAUAUGAUUUUCCCAAUUUUUCUCUAUGCAAUAUAGAUCGCCUCUUUCAGUUGACUGUUUUAUAAGUAUUUUUUUUUAAAAAAAAAGUAAAAAAAAAACAAAAGCCCACGAUCCACCUAACCCUAAAAAUAUGACUGACUAAAGCCGCCCCCUCCAUCUCCUUUUCUCUUUCUUUUUUUAGAUCUAAAACAUUUUAUCAUCUUUCCCCAAUCUCCAUUUUCCUCUCAUUCUCUCUCCUCUUCCCCUAUUAAAAUCCUUAUGCACCGUACUGUUGUACCACCACCGAGCCUCAAGCGUCACUGAGCCAUAAUCUAUCGAGCGUCCAACAACGAUAGAUUGUUGUUUUUGGUUUCAAUUUAAAUUUCUGAUUAUAAUAUUUGUUGUUUUUGUUAUUACUUAGAUCUGUUUUAUUUUUAGUUAUUUUUGGUUUCAAUUCAAAUUUCUGACUAUAAUUUAUUUGUUAUUUUUUGUGAUUCAAUUGCAUUCAAAUUAGUUUCAGCGAAGUGGUAAUGCUCCACUCGAAUGCCGCCGUCGAUCGAGUCGUAUAAGCCGUCGUCGUUAGGUCUGGGUCUGUUAAAAUGAGGUGUUGCUACUUCAGAAUAGAUUGUGAAGUGUAAAGAUGUAUAAAGGUUUUCUAUUUUUGAGCUUGGUGGAAGCGUGGUGGCCUGAAUGAUUGCGGUGCAAUAUAAGUCGGUGCUUUUCGAUCUAGAGCUGUUAGCAUAUUGAUAAUUAAUUAGCUAUGUUUGAAACCUUGUAACAUAAUUUUUUUUUUCUCAAGGAUUGAAAUACUUGUAUUUUAAUUUUUUUUAUAAAUAAAAUGUUAUUGUUAUGGUGUUUUAUUUA